AUUUCGUGGAGGACGCGCCCCGGGCUGCCCUGGAGGACCACAGCAGCAGGUCUAGUAAGGUCCGUAUCAAGGCUCCAACAGUUCGGGAUGUGAUGGACCUCAGCCAGCCAGAAUCAAACACCGCUGAACGACUAAAGGCAGAUCACCUCAAUAAAUUCGGAGAAAAAAGAUUUUCUCUAAAGGAAAAUGCAGCCAAUGGGCAGCAGGGGCUUGAGAGCGGUAACCAG